UACGUAGGGGGCAAGCGUUAUCCGGAUUUACUGGGUGUAAAGGGAGCGUAGACGGCAAGGCAAGUCUGAUGUGAAAACCCAGGGCUUAACCCUGGGACUGCAUUGGAAACUGUCUGGCUCGAGUGCCGGAGAGGUAAGCGGAAUUCCUAGUGUAGUGGUGAAAUGCGUAGAUAUUAGGAAGAACACCAGUGGCGAAGGCGGCUUACUGGACGGUAACUGACGUUGAGGCUCGAAAGCGUGGGGAGCAAACAGG
rnacentral:rRNA from 1 species